rnacentral:rRNA from 1 species
GUUCCUACGGGGGGCAGCAGUAGGGAAUCUUUCACAAUGGGCGAAAGCCUGAUGGAGCAACGCCGCGUGCAGGAUGAAGGCCUUCGGGUUGUAAACUGCUUUUAUAAGCGAGAAAUAUGAUGGUAACUUAUGAAUAAGGAUCGGCUAACUACGUGCCAGCAGCCGCGGUAAUACGUAGGUGGCAAGCGUUGUCCGGAUUUACUGGGUGUAAAGGGCGUGUAGCCGGGUUGACAAGUCAGAUGUGAAAUCCUGCGGCUUAACCGCAGAACUGCAUUUGAAACUGUUGAUCUUGAGUACUGGAGAGG